ACUGUCUCAUCUAGUGUCACCCCAGAUGGAACCCAGAUGGGUAAAUUGAGGCAACUGGCUGCUUGGGAAAAAAACUUAGCAGUGAUUUCUCCCUGCAAGCCAGGAUCUCAUUAUCACUUUGAAAACAUGUUUUUGGGCACCACUGGCUGAGAGAUGUGCCCCUUGUGGACCACCCUGGAGCCAUCUGAACAGACCUUUGGGGGGCAGUUCUGACAAAAGGGUCUGGAGGUGUGCAACCCGCCUAGGACAGUGGACGACAUCCUGACUUGAAGCUGACUGAGGUUCAGGCCUUCUCCCUGCACAGCAUCACCUCCCGUCCAGGGACCCCGGUGAGUCUCUGAUCCCGUUAGGCUCGGCUCUCUUGUGUGUCCAUCCUAGGGAACGGUAAGGCCCACUGUCCUCCCUACAGGCAGGCGAUGGCCUCUGCCGCAGGAGCGCCUCCAUUUAGACCUGGCUCCCUUGUUUACUAGCCGCCUAACUUCGAGCAGGCUACCUAACCUCUGCACGCCACACUUAGUUCAGUAAGAUACGAUUAGUAAUGAGUGCCUACUCGCAGGCUUGGGCAAAGGAUUUAAUGAGGUAACACAAUAAAAUGUUUGGCACGACUCCAAUGCUGGCACAGAGUUUACACUCAAUAAAUACCAGCUCUUACUAUGAUCAGUUUUAAUAUUUGUGAGCUCAACUUUCUGCCAAGGAGCCCCAAGAUUGUUUAUUCCCUGCUACAUGUGAGAGGAGUAGAUCCGAUUUUUCAUCCUAAUCCACACCUGGUUCUUGGCGGGGCCAUAGCACCAAGUUGUGGGCUUAGCAAAGGUUACUUCCCUGCCCCAGCCUCUACUCCAUAUGCCUUCACUGGCACUUUCAGGGUUACCUUUUACUUAGUGGCUUCCUCUGUAUGUCCAUUGCUUUGCAUAUAUUAUCUCAAAUUCUCUUGACAAACCUCUGAAGUUCGGAUCUUUGCCCCAACUUUACAGAUGAGAAACCUGGGCUCUGCAAGUUUGGGGAAAUGGCUCAAGUUCACAGGGGCAGGAAAUGCUGGUGCUGGCAUAGUGACCAACCACCUGACCCUCAAACCCUGGACUGCCUGCCCCACCCCCACCCCCUCCUGUCCCUGGUCAGGCCUGUCCUUCUCCUGGUCUACCCGGAAAAGACAGCUCAUUGCAAAGAACCUGGUGGUCAAGAACACACAAUUCCUUCUGGAGUGGAAGGAAUUUAUACCUGAACAUUGAUUGAAGCUUUCAGGUAAAGAAAUAUAGGUCUAUUGGCAGAAGUUGAGACAAUUAGCAAGACAAAACAUUUGUUAAGUGUUUGGGACUUUUUGAGUCAAAUUGAAUUAUUCACAGAGGGAAAGGGAAAAACAUCAGAGCUUGCAUUUUCAGUAUUUGUCUUAUUUUAAUUUCUCUUUUUGGCAUGUGUAGUAGAAUGCACAUGCUAUAAUUAUAUCAGCACAGUAGUACAGGCAUGCAAUCUAUAAAUAACUAUACAGAGCUUUGGGGGCAUGCUAAGUAAGUGUUAUUUAUCUAUGACAUGAUCAGAAGAUUUUGGAAACGGCUCCUGACUCUCAGCAGUUCCUGCUCCACCUAGAAAAAGCUUUGUCAAAUUCAGUACGUCCUGGGAAGAAGUCUCAAUGGAUUCUCUAAGAUCCUCUGGCCAGAAAAUGGAGGCAAAGAAGAAUCCUAAAAAACUGGAUGUCGUCUGUAAUACCAGGAGGACAAUGCUGUAAAUUCUCUCUGUACUUGCUUUUCUACUCAUAUCCUGGGAAAACAAGGCAGGCUGCACUCUGUGGCAAAGAGAAAGAGAUCUGAGAAGAGCUAUGGCUUGUGUCAUGGGCCUGGGAGAUUAAAAACUGAUGUGCAGCCCCACUAAGGCAAUCAGGACUUACAGGGCCAAAAUUCCCAAGGAAAGGUUAAGAAAGCUGAGUUAUCACCAGAUCCAGGUCAGGCCUGAGAGAGAUGGAACAGUGAUAAAAGGGAAAGUUGUGUACUAGGUCAUAAUUGAGCUGAGAUAGCUGGAGAGCAAGAUUGGACCCCAGUUUCCAUACCAAACUGCCUAUUCUUCUGGGAAUUACUUGCAGAGUUGCAUUGUGAAACUUCUGUGUUUCCUGGGGAGCAGGAGCAGAUCACGUGAGGUCAACUCGGCAUUGAAGUCCAAGAGAGCCAGCAAAGAUCUCUCAGACCUUCAACCGCCUGACCGCAGUGGCUAUUCUCAAAGGGCCUUGACUCACUAUCUUACACAGAUCUGAACUCCCAAUCUCUGCCUACCCCAUAAACCAGAGAGGAAAUGACAUGGCUUUCAGUCCCAUUAUCUCCCUUGCAUCCAUGGACUUGCUGACCCCAAGAUGAACUGGUCUGGAUACUUUGCAUUUAUUUUUGAGAUAUUUUGAAUUCGUUCUCCAUGGGUGCGGAAAACACUUUGACCAGUCAGGCCUCUCUUCUCCUCUCUACCCAGUAGGUUCUUCCUCUGUCUAUUCUUUGGUUCUCAGCAUCACUCAUUUACCCCAGGGACUAGAACUGACUUUCUGUCCUAUCUCUGACACCUUCCAUGUCCACAGUUGUUCCCAUCUCAUAAAUGGGAAUCCUCCCCUGGAGCCCAGUAGGGUGUUUCCUUCCUCCAUAUUCUUACAUGCUCCUGUCCUAUCUCCACCUCUCUGAAUACCCUUGGGAGUCGGGGCUGCAUGCACAACCAUGCAGGUUGUUAGGUUUUCACUCUGAGACCUCACACUGGAAUCUUCUUUGGCCAGAGUCACACAGCCUGUAUUAGCUAUGAUGGCAAGGAACGGAAGAAAUUGAUGGUGGCUCAAGCAAUACAGCCAUUUGAUUAUUGUCCAUUAUGUUUGGAGGUAGAUGGUUCCACCUUUGGUUUUCCUCAAGGACAGAAGAUCUUUCUACUCUCUCUUCCUUCUCAGGGAUCUUUGGCCAGUUGGCUUUUUAUCUUCAGACUGAUGCCUCAUGGUCAUAAGAUGGCUGAUGUAGCUCCAGAUGAUACACUCUCAUUCCAGCCACCCACACAGGAAGGAAGGGAAUGGUAUUAAAGCAUUCUGCAC